CCUACGGGAGGCAGCAGUGAGGAAUAUUGGUCAAUGGGCGGAAGCCUGAACCAGCCAAGUCGCGUGAGGGAUUAAGGCCCUGCGGGUCGUAAACCUCUUUUGCCGGGGAGCAGUGGUCCGGACGCGUCCGGACCGGGAGAGUACCCGGAGAAAAAGCAUCGGCUAACUCCGUGCCAGCAGCCGCGGUAAUACGGAGGAUGCGAGCGUUAUCCGGAUUUAUUGGGUUUAAAGGGUGCGUAGACGGGAAGUCAAGUUGGUUGUGAAAUCCCUCGGCUUAACUGAGGAACUGCAACCAAAACUAACUUUCUUGAGUGCUGGAGAGGAAAGUGGAAUUCCUAGUGUAGCGGUGAAAUGCGUAGAUAUUAGGAGGAACACCAGUGGCGAAGGCGACUUUCUGGACAGUAACUGACGUUGAGGCACGAAAGUGUGGGGAGCAAACAGGAUUAGAUACCCCAGUAGUC
rnacentral:rRNA from 1 species